rnacentral:rRNA from 1 species
UACAGAGGUCUCAAGCGUUGUUCGGAUUCAUUGGGCGUAAAGGGUGCGUAGGUGGCGCCGUAAGUGGGGUGUGAAAUUUCGGAGCUUAACUCCGAAACUGCAUUCGAUACUGCCGUGCUUGAGGACUGGAGAGGAGACUGGAAUUUACGGUGUAGCAGUGAAAUGCGUAGAGAUCGUAAGGAAGACCAGUGGCGAAGGCGGGUCUCUGGACAGUUCCUGACACUGAGGCACGAAGGCCAGGGGAGCAAACGGG